UCUAAGACUUGUGUGCUGAAGUUGUGUGCUGAAAAUUUAUUGGGAGGACCCUCAGGACCUCAGGAUCAACACUGUUCAGUUCCACCGCAGUGACCUGGAAUACCUUAGCCUUGCAAAGAAGGAACACGAAGAUUUUCCAGAAGUUGUUUAUAGACUCAAAAUCACCAACCAUAAGCUGUCUCACUACGUCCCCGUGGGAAGAGGUGAUCCUCUGGCCUCUUCUGGAAAAACGUACAUGGAGCACACUCACCUUACGGCAAAAUCAUUAAAAGAAAGAAAAAGGCAGAGAGAAAGAAAGAAAGAUAAAAAGAAAGGAAGAAGGAAG